CCUCCUCCCGCGAAACGGCUCUGCUGCCGGCCGGGCGGCGGCGGCGGCGGCGGGGGCAGCAGUGGCGGUGGAGGAG
ensembl:miRNA